GAAGCGCGCCGGACCGCCGCUGGUGCGAUCUGGGAAACCAGGCACUGGAGGAACGUCCGGACUGCACAGGACAGCGCAGGAGUUAACGACUCUCCACCGCGAGGUGAGGAUCAGAGCAACAGAGACGAGUCGGCGACGGGGCAACCCGGAGUCGGGUGAAACGGGCAAUCUCUGCGCGCAGCAACACCAAAUAGGCCAGCGCACGGAGCGAGCGGUACGCCGCGAGCUCCUGAUCCCGUGGUUCCGCGGAUGGCUGGCGGGUAGGUGGCACCGAGCCGUCGGGUGACCGGCGGCCCAGAUUAAUGGCGGUCACGCCGGCGGAUUCGAAAGAAGACGCCGGUGCACAGAAUCCGGCUUACAGGCGCGCUUCACAC
rnacentral:RNase_P_RNA from 1 species